GUGGGGAAUAUUGGACAAUGGGCGCAAGCCUGAUCCAGCAAUGCCGCGUGGGUGAAGAAGGUCUUCGGAUCGUAAAGCCCUUUCGACAGGGACGAUGAUGACGGUACCUGUAGAAGAAGCCCCGGCUAACUUCGUGCCAGCAGCCGCGGUAAUACGAAGGGGGCUAGCGUUACUCGGAAUUACUGGGCGUAAAGGGCGCGUAGGCGGCUUUGUGUGUCAGGCGUGAAAUUCCUGGGCUUAACCUGGGGACUGCGCUUGAUACUGCAGGGCUUGAGGCCGAGAGAGGGUGGUGGAAUUCCCAGUGUAGAGGUGAAAUUCGUAGAUAUUGGGAAGAACACCGGUGGCGAAGGCGACCACCUGGCUCGGUUCUGACGCUGAGGCGCGACAGCGUGGGGAGCAAACAGGAUUAGAUACCCCAGUAGUCC
rnacentral:rRNA from 1 species